AAAAGAGAAAACUCUCUUCAUUUUCCUCCCCAAAAUCGAGAGGUCUCUCUUCCCUCUCCAUUUUCUACCAUUUUUCUCUCCAAGGAGCAAGAGCUCUCACUCUCCAUUGAAGGAAGGAAGAAAACUCAAGAGCACACUAGGCAAGUGGUUCAAGAGUGGUGGUUCUAGGAGGAUCUCAAAGAUUUGAAACUUGUUGAUGUUUUAGUGAGAACAAAGAACAUAAGGAGGAAGUUUGAAAGGCUAAGGGAACCUUAUGUCCAAGCUUGAACUAUCAAAGGUAGGCUCAAAGACAAAGUGGAUCAGUGAGCGCUGGAGUUUAUCUGCGAGAAUGUACAUGUGGACCGACCUUUUGGGAAUUUAUGUUUUGUGGACUAGAACCCAUAUGAUAACUAAGAAAUUAUUUUGGGUUUGUUGAAUGUUUUAAAAUUAUGACAUUGUAAUUUUCUUUUAAGUAUGCGCAUACUUCCGAACUAUUGCAUGUUUUGAAAGUUUUUUUUUUAUAUGGAUUUUCUGUUACCUUAUUUUAGAAAAUGGUUGUAAUGCCCUGAAAAUCCCUAAUGCGGUUUAAUGGCUGGAUUAGUAGGCCGGGAGGGCCAUAACUGUUUAAUUAUGCC